CAGAUGCGAGCGUCGUCGGCCUGUCAUUAGGCUAAUAUGGAAACUGUCCCGGCGGGAAGCAGAGUGUGAAGCUGUCUUUCCUAAUCCUCCAGUGAAUGGGUAUUAACUGUGCAGCGAGGUACCUGUCUACGGUGGCCCGUGGCCUGGUAAGAAACGCUCUCGCUUCACACGCUGACUGGACGUGGUUCGAUCCCCGGAAAGGGCGGAAACAUUCGGCAUUGCUUCCUUACACCUGUUGUCCCGUUCUAGACCUAGCAAGCAAGCUUGUUACCGCAGUAUUGGUUGCCUGGUCUUGCGGAAACUGGGAAAGUUAAAGUCCGCUGCCAUCCCCUCCGUCACGGCUGUAAACUUCGCCUCGCCUCUAUACAGUGCGACCGAAAAAAAUAUACGGCAUUUGUUGUGUUCAUUUUCUGCGCGUGGUUUACACAAGUCUAUCUUGAUCUCCGUUUUCUUUCAUGUACCCUCGUUUUCUUUCACAGGUCCCCUCUUCCUUUAUUCCCCGCUUGGCUAUCUCCAAUUAUUCAUUCCUGGGUUUUUAACUUUCAUAUCUCCCAGACCCGAAGUAUUUUCCCUCUUGUAGCUUCGCGCGCCUUUACUGCAGCUUAUUUAAAUGUUUCUAUUUUUAUUCUAGUUGUCUUAUCCCCAGGAGCUCUGCGGCGUAGCUAGCUCAGCUGCAACAAGUGUAUAUAUGGAGCUAGUGAUGUGGGAGUAACCAUUUACGGAUUUGUUGGACAUGGACAGGGUUUGUACGGACAUUAAUGUAGCUCCAUGGUAGAACAUUCGGCUUACAGCCGAAGGGAUCCGGGUACGAUUGCCGGGGUAGACUUAUUUGGGGUAUCCUAGGUUAAAUGUGCAUUAAUGGUAAUAACGAAAGACCCCGGGCUAGAUCCUGGGGUGGGUGGACGCGUUGUGCGUGUCCCCUUAUACCUGUUAGGUAAAAGAACACAUGUGCAACUAAUGUAACAUUUUAUUGUGGCAACGUUUCGCUCUCCAGGAGCUUUGUCAAGCUGUCACAUUAGUUGCACUUGUGUCCUAACAUAUUGUCAGCAAUACUACCAACCUUAAUACAUUCCUUAUACCUGUUGCUCCUGCCUCCCUAGCAGCAAGUAGGUAUCUGUUAACCUGUGUUAUCUAUUUAUGCCUGCCCGAAAUGCCUAAGCAUGCUAGAGACCAUUACCUGGAGUUUACCUGGAGAGAGUUUCGGGGGUCAACGCCCCCGCGGCCCGGUCUGUGACCAAUAUUUUAAAAUAUAUAAACCACACAGUUUUACAAGGAAAUAAACAUUUAUCAUUAUUAUGGCUGCUGUACGUGGCGUCCCGCAGGGCUGGUAUCUGGAAAGAUGCCAUAAUGUUUUAAUAUGUUAGGUUAUCCUAGCUUAAUUUCUACAUAUACUGAGUAAGACCAUUGAAAACAUUGAACUUAUGUAUGAAACUAACUACAAACUUUUACGUUAAGGAGGACUGGGCUUUGAAAUGAUUAUUUAUUAUUAAAAUCAAGGGGGAAGCGCUAAACCCGGAGGAUUAUACAGCGCCUGGGGGGGAUGUGGAAGGCAUUCAGGCUUAAUUCGGGGAACUGGAGCACAGAUCCAAUUCCCUAAAUCAAGAGCCCCUCACCAACAUCAAGGAACCUUCCUUGAGGGGGGCUUUGAAAUGAGCGAAUGGUAUGAUGCCAGCUCUGCAGGAUGCUACAUACAGCAAGAUAUUAUAUAAUAAGAACGCUUCAAUCUGGAGGUCCCAAGGUGGUAAUUGCAGUGAUGUAUAACCCACCACAGAACAGCAGGAGGCUGACACAAAUACCUAUUUGCUGCUAGGGAGACAGGAGCAAUAAGUAUAAGGAAAUAAAAAAAAACACAGUACCGUGACUGGAACGAUACACAAAUAACCCGCACAUAAAAGAGAGGAGCUUACGACGACGUUUCGGUCCGACUUGGACCAUUUACACAGUCACAGUGUGACUAAAUAGCCCAAUUCGGACCAUUUGUGUAGGUAUAAGGCAGUGGUUCCCAAACUGGAGGUAAAUUACCCCCUGGGGGUAAUUUAACCAUUUUUGGGGGGUAAUGGAGGGGUGACAGAAAAAAAGUUAUGAAUUCUGAAAAUCAAGAAAACAAUGCGGUACCCGGUAUGAGGAUUAUUGUUAACUUUGUCUUAGUAUAUAAAGUUGUAAAGUAAACCUAUUAUAAGUAAGUAAUAAAGUUAAACCAAAUAACAAUAAACAUCAAAAACUAAUAUACAGUAUUAGAAAAGAAGAAAUAUAUAGCUAAGUGUGUGGAAACCCAAAAGUAUUUUGACAAGUAUGCUUCAGGACAAAAGUCACUCAGUAGCCCAGAUCGACCUGUCCAGUACGCGUCACUCAC